UGUGGGCUGGAGGUCCAGAACACUGGGCCGAGGCUGGAGACACUCAAAGACGUUGAGGUACACCGUUUGGGGAAAGGAAGAUGACACGUGGACACUCACCAGUGUACAGCCAUUUUUCAGGGAAGUCGAAGCUUGGAGAGAUUCUGUGAAUUGGUGAAGGACACAGAGCAAAGCCAGGAUUCAGAUUCAGACCUGCUUGACUCCAAGAUCAUUCCAGAAAUCUCCCUUUUCCUUUGGACCCUGUGACGUGACAGCUGGGUUCUUUCUGCUCUGAUUUCCAUGCCUGACAACCAUUUAAAUGGAAUACAAGAAUGCAGUUUUCUUAGGUUGAAAGAAAUUCACCCUUUAUCAAGAAUUAUUUAUAGUUCCUCUGGAGUGAGAGAGGAAGACAUUACCCACGCAGUGCUCUGUGGAAUCAUCUGAGCCACCACUUCUGCCUUGGGGACAUCAUCUGGGGAAGUAUCUAGAUCCUUUGGCUGAACAACGUGUUUUGAGGUCUUUAAUAUGUCACCUUAAGGAUGAGGCCUAGAGAACAUGGCCUUUUGUUGAACAGUUUGUAAGCUCUCAAAUGUGAGUAAAUGUGAGGAGGGUCUUGAGAGAUAUAGGAAGCUCAAGAAACCUAGCUAGAGUCUCUAGACUGUUGAGAAAAGUGGUGAGAAGAAAUUCCCAUUGUGGGGGAUGGGAGUGGUGGUUCAGGAGGAUUUUUGAGAAUGGGGAUAGAGAGCCUAGAAAUAAGGCCACACACCCAUGGCCAUCUGAUCUUCGACAAAGCAAGCAAUGAGUAAUGGACUCCUUGUUCAAUAAAUGGUGCCGGGUUGACUGAUUAGCCAUAUGCAGAAGAUUGAAACUGGACUCCUUCCUCACACCAUAUACAGAAAUCAACUCAAGAUGGAUUAAAGACUUAAAUGUAAAACCCAGAACUAUAAAAACUCUGGAAGACAACCUAGGCAAUACCACCCUGGAUAUAGGAACGGGCAAAGAUUUCAUGAUGAAGACACUAAAAGCAAUUGCAGCAAAAGCAAAAAUUGACAAAUGUGAUCUGAUUAAACCUAAGAGCUUCUGCACAGCAAAAGAAAUUAUCAACAGAGUAAACAGAGUAAACAACCUAUAGAAUAGGAGAAAAUAUUUGCAGACUAAGUAUCCAACAAAGGUCUCAUAUCCAGCAUCUAUAAGGAACUUAAACAAAUUUAUAAGAAAUAACUAACAAUUCCAACAAAAAGUGGGCAAAGUAUAUGAACAGACACUUUGCUAAAGUAGACAUAUAUGUGGCCAACAAGCAAAUGAAAAAAAGCUCAAUAUCAUGAUCAUUAGAGAAAUGCAAAUCAAAGCCACAAUAAGAUAUAUCAUCUCACACCAGUCAGAAUGGCUAUUAUUAAAAAGUCAAAAAAUAACCGAUGGCUGGUAAAGUUGCAGAGAAAAGGAAAUACUUAUACACUGUUAGUUGGAGUUUAAAUUAGUUCAACCAUUAUGGAAAGCAGUGUGGUGAUUCCUCAAAGAGCUAAAAACAGGACUACCAUUUGACCCAGCAAACCUAUUACUGGGUAUAUGCCCAGAGGAAUAGAAAUCAUUCUACCAUAAAAACAUGUGCAACAAAUGUUCAUUGUAGCACUAUCCAAAAUAGCAAAGACAUGGAAUCAACCUAAAUGUCCAUCAAUGACAGAUUGGAUAAAAAAUGUAGUACAUAGGUCCCAUGGAAUACUAUGCAACCAUAAGAAAGAACAAGAUCAUGUCUUUUGCAGGAACAUGAUGGAGCUGGAGGCCAUUAUCCUUAGCAAACUAAUGCAGAAACAGAAAACUAAAUAGUGCAUGCUCUUACUCAUAAGAGGGAGCUAAAUGAGGAGACAUCAUGAAUACAAAGAGGGGAACAACAGACACUGGGACCUCUUUGAGGGUGGAGGGUAGGAGGAGGGAGAGGAGCAGAAAAACAUUAAUCUUGUUGUACAGAUUAUUUUGUCACCCAGGUACUAAAUGUGGUACUAUUGGGUACCCUACCACUGUUUUAUCAAACAAGUUUCUGUAAUAGUAUAAAUCCUUUGUUGUCAUUACAACAAUGUUCAUGGCAUCUUCACCAGGAGUAAAUCUCAUCUCAAGAAACCACUUUUUUUGCUUAUCCAUAAGAAGCAACUCCUCAUCUAUUCAAAUUUGAUCAUGAGAUUGCAGCAAUCUGGUCACAUCUUCAGGUUCACUCUAAUUCAAGUUCUCUUGCUGUUUCUACCACAUCCACAGUUACUUCCUUCACUGAAAUUUUGAACCUGUCAAAAUUUGGUACCUUACUGUUGUGUACCAGGUUUAGUACCUGGGUGACAAAAUAAUCUGUACAACAGACCCCCCGUGAUACCAGUUAACCUAGGUAACAAACCUGCACAUGUACUCCUGAACCUGAAAUAAAAAAAAAAAAAAUGGGAAUUUUUAGGUUACAAGUUCUUUUUCUGUGAAAUAAGUCCCCAGCCAUUGCAUCAAAUACUCAGUAAAUCCUUCUAGCAAUAUGGGAGUGAUUUGGGCAAAAUCAGAAGAAACCCACAAAAACUCUGUUGCACAUCAUUGUGCUGAACCUCUAUUAAUCUCAGUAGGGAAGACACCAGGCUCAAGAGGCCAAAGAAGACACUCAGAGCCAGUAAAUGAGACAUGGGGUCUUAUUAGGGGCUUCCACACAAGGGAGACAGUGCAGCGACAGCGGGCUGGACAAGAUAACCACAGGGCCCAGUAGCUGCGGGCUGGAGAGGAAAACCACAACUGCCUGCAAAUGU
rnacentral:lncRNA from 10 species